GUGACGACCUCGAAGGCGAGGCUGUAGUGCGCAGUCGCAGUGGGAGCGGACGCGUUGGCUGGCUGCGUGGGGACGCCCCUGCAAGUUUCACGGAUCCCGAGGACAGCGCGGUGACAGCAGCCGCCAGAGAGUGUCAUCACGAUACCGCGGGACGCCCCCAUGGAGACGUAGCCUUCGUCUCCUCUUCCUCCUCUCGUCCUACCAAUGGAGCUGGACCUGCCCGCGCCGCAGCAACCGACGCCUUCUACAUCUUGCUGUCGGCCUCAUGAGGUGGACACGUACCCUUCUGGUCGUUUUCCGGGGAGCGUUUCCUCCAGAGCGAAGACCGGAUGGCGGGAUUCACGGAUCCCGAGGACAGCGUGGUGACAGCCGCCGCCAGAGGGUGUCAUCACGAUACCGCGGGACGACCGCAUGGAGACGGAGCCUUGGCCUCCUCCGUGUCCUCUCGUCCUACCGAUGGAGCUGGACCCGCCCACGUCGCAGCAACCGACGCCUUCUACAUCUUACUUUGGGCGUCAUGAGGUGGACACAUACCAUUCUGUUCGUUUUCCGGGGAACGUUUCCUCCAGAGCGAAGGCCGAAUGGCGGGGUAUGACCGGAAACCUGAUGUUCCCUUGUGAUGGGUUUCGUUCUGUUUGUGUAAAGUUGUUGUGACGCUGUGUCCGCGUUAUUGUAAAAUGUAUGAAAAUGU